UGCAGAAUUAGGGGGGUUCCAGAUUGGAGGAAUGGCCGUAUUGGUGUUUUCCCGUCACCCCGUCCAUUUGGAGACAGGAAGUGCAGGUUUUACUCUGAAAUAUGUUUACUAGAGAGAAUCGAAUCUAGUUUUGGGACGAAGCGCUACUUCAGAGAUCAAAAGGGAGUCUAAAGUUAGGAUGGAUAUUGAAAUGAAGGUUUUUGAAGUGUGCUCCCUGACUGCCCAGUAGCCUGGCCGGGUGUGGUUGUAGGGAAAGAGCGGAACUGUGGCAUUUAAUGCUCAUCCUCGGGCUUUAGUUUUGAUUGGUUGAGGUGGGAGGCGUGGCUUCAAACUUUAACUACGAUUGGUUAAUCCAUGGAUGAGGUUGGGGGUCGUCGUAGGUGCGGCUUAUUGAAGUUCCCGGUUACACAGAGACCGGAAGAGCUGCUGUCAUUUACACACGCGCAUAGGACCUAGAAAGCAUCCAGGUAUUGGUCCCCAACAUUGACCACGGCAUCUGCUCUGAGUGGAACUGUAGUCACAGGCCAGAUUCUUAGAUUUUUGUACAGAAUAGUGAAUGUCAGCCUUCGGUUGAGGGCCCGGCAGAAGGUUCAGAUCCCGGGGAAGGUCCCCUCACGUCUUUGAUUCUGAGGACGCCUAGGUCCCUGGGUCAUGGCUGACUCGAAGCUGCUGGUGCCGGAGCUAAGCGAGGAAGAGACGAUGGGUGCUGAGAGGGCGCGUUUCGAGGAGCUGCUGCUGCAGGCCUCCAAGGAGUUCCAGCAAACCCAGACAAGCAGACCAGAAUCUACACAGAUCCAACCUCAACCUGGUUUCUGCAUAAAGACCAACUCAUCCGAAGGGAAGGUGUUCAUCAACAUCUGCCACUCUUCCUCCAUCCCUCCUCCUGCUGACAUGACGGAGGAUGAGCUGCUUCAAAUGCUGGAGGAGGACCAAGCCGGGUUUCGCAUCCCCAUGAGUCUGGGAGAGCCUCAUGCCGAACUGGAUGCAAAAGGCCAGGGUUGUACCGCCUUCGACGUAGCUGUCAACAGCGACUUCUACCGGAGGAUGCAGAACAGCGAUUUCUUGCGAGAGCUCGUGGUCAUCAUCGCCAGGGAGGGCCUUGAGGACAAAUACAGACUGCAGCUGAAUCCGGAAUGGCGCAUGUUGAAGAAUCGGUCUUUCCUGGGCUCCCUCUCCCAGCAAAAUAUCCGUUCCCAGCAGCGUCCUCGGAUCCAGGAGCUGGGGAACCUGUGCGCGCCUGACUCCCUGAGGCUUGAGGAAGGGUACGCCUUCAAUGGGUUCCCUCUCACAAGUCUCUUUGGAGUCCCUCCUUCAGUCCUCCUGCCCUUAGGGGGCCGCGUCCCGGGGUCCUGGAAACCCAGAGGGGAGAAGCAGGACGCUGCCCUGAGAAGCCUCACCUGAACCUAUGGCUGGAAGCCCCUGACCUCCUCUUGGCUGAAAUAGACCUCCCCAAACUGAUCAACUCUGACGAGAGCAAGGCAGCCUUCCAUAGGAAGAGAAAGCAGUUGCUGGUGGCCAUGCCCCUCCUGUCUGUGCCGUCUUGAUCUGGAGUCACCCAUGCUUCCAAGUGGGGAGAAAAGGCUGGUGGUGUGUCUAAAACUGAAAUAAAGUUUUUGCCUUUGUUCUGUGUCUGUCAAGAAGUACGUGGGAAGUGGGAGGUCAGAGGGAUAUUGGGCUGCAGCACUGAAGUCCCAUAGAGGCCACUGCCCUAGCUCAGGCCUCUUGGCCUCCAGUCUCUCCACUGUUGAUUCUCACAGGGCCCCAAAGCUGACCUGCCCCUCUCCUGUUCAGGGUCCCUCCUUGGCUCCCCAGCACCCCCAGGAGAAGGUCCAAGCCCCUUGGCCUGGCACUCCCAGCUUUGUGUGGUCUGCCCCCUUCUCCCCCCAUUUGGCCUCUAAGACUCCCUCUUUCUUCAUCUUGCUGCACUCAGCAGUGUCCUGACCAUUUUGGUUUUUCAUACUUCCUCAUUGUUCUGCUGUUCCCUCUACUUUCUGUCCUCUUCUCUGUUGAGACCCAGGAAAUCUAAAGUGGUCCUGACCUCACAGGGGACUUUUCCUGAGUCCUUUGGUGACUUGAUCCACACCGUCAUCCGCACAAGCUGCCCUAUCCUGGAAUUGUACUUCCCAUCACAGUCACACCAAACUGUUUCCCAUCCUGCCUGCAAGUUCUGUUUCCUCUGCUGCGGAUACUCCAGACUCUGCCCUCAAAGUCAUCCCUUUUAGUGAACUUUCCCUGGAAAGCUUUUCAAGCUUCAAGCUCUCUCUGAUCUUCCCUGGCUGAGUCCUCCUCCGGUGGUCACCAAUGUCCAGUGUUACUUUCAGUAUAGCUGUGUCCCCUAUGAUGUGACACCUAGUAGGAGGUCAAUAAAUUAUUACUUGUUG